ACGAACGCUGGCGGCGUGCCUAACACAUGCAAGUCGAACGGAGAAUUUCGAAGGGUAACUGGAGAAAUUCUUAGUGGCGGACGGGUGAGUAAACUAUAGUUAAUGUGCCUCGAAGACUGGGAUAGCCACUGGAAACGGUGAUUAAUACUAGAUACACCUCUUUAGCUCAAGCUGGGGAGGGAAACGUUUUUUCGCUUCGAGAUCAGACUAUAUCCUAUCAGUUAGUUGGUGAGGUAAUGGCUCACCAAGGCAAUGACGGGUAGCUGUUCUGAGAGGAUGAUCCGCCACACUGGUACUGAGACACGGACCAGACUCCUACGGGAGGCAGCAGUGAGGAAUAUUGCACAAUGGGGGGAACCCUGAUGCAGCAACGCCGCGUGGAGGAUGACGCAUUUCGGUGUGUAAACUCCUUUUAUAUGUCAAGAAAAUGACGGUAGCAUAUGAAUAAGCACCGGCUAACUCCGU
rnacentral:rRNA from 1 species